rnacentral:rRNA from 1 species
UACAGAGGUCCCGAGCGUUGUUCGGAUUCAUUGGGCGUAAAGGGUGCGUAGGUGGCGCUGUAAGUGGGGUGUGAAAUCCCGGGGCUUAACCCCGGGACUGCAUUCCAUACUGCGGUGCUUGAGGACUGGAGAGGAGACUGGAAUUUACGGUGUAGCAGUGAAAUGCGUAGAGAUCGUAAGGAAGACCAGUGGCGAAGGCGGAGUC